GACGAACGCUGGCGGCGUGCUUAACGCAUGCAAGUCGAACGAAGAGCGAUGGAAGCUUGCUUCUAUCAAUCUUAGUGGCGAACGGGUGAGUAACGCGUAAUCAACCUGCCCUUCAGAGGGGGACAACAGUUGGAAACGACUGCUAAUACCGCAUACGAUCUAAUCUCGGCAUCGAGGAAAGAUGAAAGGUGGCCUCUAUUUAUAAGCUAUCACUGAAGGAGGGGAUUGCGUCUGAUUAGCUAGUUGGAGGGGUAACGGCCCACCAAGGCGAUGAUCAGUAGCCGGUCUGAGAGGAUGAACGGCCACAUUGGGACUGAGACACGGCCCAGACUCCUACGGGAGGCAGCAGUGGGGAAUCUUCCGCAAUGGACGAAAGUCUGACGGAGCAACGCCGCGUGAGUGAUGACGGCCUUCGGGUUGUAAAGCUCUGUUAAUCGGGACGAAAGGCCUUCUUGCGAACAGUUAGAAGGAUUGACGGUACCGGAAUAGAAAGCCACGGCUAACUACGUG
rnacentral:rRNA from 1 species